GGAGGCAAAUACUUGUCAGUUUUGUGUGUCUCUGUCUACAGUUUGACCACUAGACGGGUGCUGCGGUUUGUUUUCUGUCUGUCUCACUGUGUGUCAAAGUCUGAGUCUAUAAGCCUUUCUGAAAAUUUUGGUUUUGCUUGCAAGCUUCUUGUGUGGUGCGUUCGACUGGCAGCUGCUAGAGUCAAGACCGUUAGGGUCUGGAGGAAGCUUUAGACCCGGGAGAAAGCUGAAUAAGGGUCUCCUCCAUCUGUAAACAGCAAGUCAGUAAUGGUGGAAGCCAUGCUUUGCUGAAAUCUGUUUUAUCUGAUCCCUGCUAUGUGUUCAGGGACGCCAGGUGUCUGAAACUGGGUCCCUCUAGGGGCAAAUUGUGUGAUUUUCCUUGCUCUGUGUUCUUGAAUCUGGAGGCCUGAUGGUGGCAGGGUCAGGCUGUCUAUGUGAUGUUGUUUUGUAUCGUGUUUUGUGUUCUUGGACUUAGACGGAUGAUAUUAUUUUGACUUUGACUGAAAAACAACUCUGUGGCGCCAAAAUCAGGUCACCUGACUCUAGCGUGCCUCAAGCGCGCCAACUUAGAACAAAAAUACUUGGGCUCUGAUGCCCCCUGAAAAGGAAAACAAGUCUUAACAAGAUGCUCAGUCUGACAGCUCACACCCACAGGGAUAUAUGCCAAGAGGACUGCUCACAUCAGAGGAAACCAACAGGAAAUCUUGGACCUCUUAGAUGUCCUAAUGAAGUCAGCCACUGCUCAAGGCCCUCGAGUGGGUGAGGCAGCAAGUGUGGAAGCAGCUCCGGGAGGCCUACUCAAGAGAAGUUCCACAUCGCUUCCAAUUUGGAGAUUCGGUCUAUGGCUGUGGAACUCAGAAUUCUGGAAUAAAGAAAUCCUCAUGCU